rnacentral:rRNA from 1 species
UACGGAGGAGGCAAGCGUUAUCCGGAAUUAUUGGGCGUAAAGCGUCCGCAGGUGGCACUUCAAGUCUGCUGUCAAAGAGUGGGGCUUAACCCUGCAAAGGCAGUGGAAACUGUCUGGCUAGAGUCCGGGAGGGGCGAGUGGAAUUCCUGGUGUAGCGGUGAAAUGCGCAGAUAUCAGGAGGAACACCAAUGGCGAAGGCAGCUCGCUGGAACGGUACUGACGCUGAGGCGCGAAAGCGUGGGGAGCAAACAGG